UACGUAGGGUGCAAGCGUUGUCCGGAAUUUAUUGGGCGUAAAGAGCUCGUAGGCGGUUUGUCGCGUCUGCUGUGAAAUCUGGGGCUCAACCCCAGCCUGCAGUGGGUACGGGCAGACUAGAGUGCGGUAGGGAGAUUGGAAUUCCUGGUGUAGCGGUGGAAUCGCAGAUAUCAGGAGGAACACCGAUGGCGAAGGCAGAUCUCUGGGCCGUAACUGACGCUGAGGAGCGAAAGCAUGGGGAGCGAACAGG
rnacentral:rRNA from 1 species